UCGACGCUAGAGUUGAACUUCAGUCAAGGACGCUGGACGAACGCUGCCACGAUCGUCGUCGACGUUGAAAUGUUCACAAUAUGACGCUCACGCUAGCGUCAUCGUCAUCGUCAGUGUCAUCGUCAUCGUCAACCUCAGCGUGGUAUUGUGAACUGGGCUUUACUGAGAUCAGCAAUGUUGCUUAGCAAUGCUCAAAGUAACAUCACUAUCGAGUCUACCAACAAGAGCCCUUCUAGAAAAAGCAUGGAAGUUCCAUUGGUGUCAUCUUCCUUGUCAGUCGAAACUUUGUCAACCAAUGAAGGAAUAAUCAACAAACAGACAACCAAAACACACAGAUCUGAUAACCGUUGCUCAUACAGCUCAACUUGCAAACGUGUCAGAAGUCCGAAAUGCUCUUUUGGAAAGCACAAAUUGUGCUGUAAAAGAUCAUAGACUGUGUGCCUUAAA